rnacentral:rRNA from 1 species
CCUACGGGUGGCAGCAGUGAGGAAUAUUGGUCAAUGGACGAGAGUCUGAACCAGCCAUGUAGCGUGAAGGAUGACUGCCCUAUGGGUUGUAAACUUCUUUUAUAUGGGAAUAAAACGUUCCACUUGUGGGAUUUUGUAUGUACCAUAUGAAUAAGGAUCGGCUAACUCCGUGCCAGCAGCCGCGGUAAUACGGAGGAUCCGAGCGUUAUCCGGAUUUAUUGGGUUUAAAGGGAGCGUAGGUGGAUUGUUAAGUCAGUUGUGAAAGUUUGCGGCUCAACCGUAAAAUUGCAGUUGAUACUGGCAGUCUUGAGUACAGUAGAGGUGGGCGGAAUUCGUGGUGUAGCGGUGAAAUGCUUAGAUAUCACGAAGAACUCCGAUUGCGAAGGCAGUUCACUGGACUGCAACUGACACUGAGGCUCGAAAGUGUGGGUAUCAAACAGGAUUAGAUACCCUUGUAGUC